UCAAGUCACAAUACCUGUGUCGACCAUGAUCCAUUGGACUAUGUCUACUCAAACCUCCCUGACCACACACACAUCCUGAAGCACGCCGCAAAUUGUGAUCACUGCAAGGCCAAGAAGUUUGUGUCUGAGGCCCCGGGAUUCUGCUGUCGCAGUGGGCAGAUCGAGCUGAAGCAACCGGAGCCCAUCCCGGAGCUAAUGAGGCUUUGGUCUAGCAUGGAUGCGGACUCAAGGCAUUUUCGGGAGAACAUACGGUUCUUCAACGGCCACUUCUCGUUCACAACCCUU
rnacentral:rRNA from 1 species